rnacentral:tRNA from 1 species
GGAUCCAUGGGGUAGAGGAUAUCCUUCCGGGCUUCGAACCCGGGGACGCGGGUUCGAUUCCCGCUGGGUCCG